UAAGCCCAUCCAAACGGGCACUAGAGCAUACUUUCCUUUAACACUAUUCAAGAAGCUUUCUUUCUUUUUUGUUUCUUUUCUUUUUUGUUUUAUUCAAGAAACUUUCUCUCUUCGAUAGUAUCUAACCUUAUUUGAGCUAAACUUCAUCCAAUGAUGAGAUGAAAAUUUAGGUAGAAAUUCAUAAUUUGAGUGUAUUUCGCUCUGGUUGUAUCAAUUUUUGAGUUCUCUGCUCAAGUUUUUCCCCGAUUUAAGCCAGGGUUCUUAUGGCGAUCUUGUCUGCCCCAAUUUCAAAGGAGGAAGCUAAUGGACUACUCGUAUCCACUGCAAGAUUUAUCAACUCGUGUUCUGUGGAGAAACUACAAUUGGCUCCUGAAAAAUAAGGUUUACGGAUCAAGUUAUGUUGCUGGAAGCACCAAUUUGUGACGUGGCUCCGAUGCUGACUGCCGUUCGCAAACUACAAGUCUCCUCUCAACAGUUGAUAACUAUAAAACUGGUAUUUUAUCACCAACCAGAGAAGAUGAGGAGAAAGAAGUUCAUAAAAGGAAGGGGUAUCGCAGAGAAAGUUACAGUGUGCCAAUGCUUGCUUCAAUUGGGUCUUGCAGCUAUAAGUAUUGCAAUAAAUACUUUCGUAUCAAAGAGUACAAUAACUACUAUAUUGUACCUUUGUGCUUCUUGACAUAGUCAUUUUCCAAAUUAAAACAAUUUAAAUUAUUAUUGUAACAUAGACAAAGAUGACAUCUUCCUUUACAAUAUUCAGAUCUGAACUCUUACUAGUAGGAGUUCAAUAAGACGAUAAUUGGAAGAUUUCAGAGAGAUAUAACUCAAUUGAGUUCGACAAAUUUAUAACAAACAAAUAUUUUAUUA